rnacentral:rRNA from 1 species
CGAACGGGUGGAGUAACGCGUGAAUAACCUGACUCAAAGAGGGGGAGUAACAACGGGAAACUGUUGCUAAUACCGCAUGAGACCACAACACCGCAUGAUGAAGGGGUCAAAGAUUUAUCGCUUUGAGAGGGGUUCGCGUCCCAUUAGGUAGUUGGAGGGGUAACGGCCCACCAAGCCAACGAUGGGUAGCCGAGCUGAGAGGCUGAUCGGCCACACUGGAACUGAGACACGGUCCAG